rnacentral:misc_RNA from 1 species
AACCAGCAGCGGCCAUUAAAAGCCGGCCUUCCCACGCCUUAUAUAGAACACAACACAAACAUCGCUCUUUCCCUCGUUUUCUCAGAUUCCCCCACUAUUUUCUCUCCCACAAACACCCCCUAAAUCCCCGCCAAUACACACACCUUUUUCAACCACCGGCAUCCUUCACUUCUCUUCUUUCUAUAAAAUAUCGCAACGGCCAUGCACUGUACCAAGUUCCAAAAAUCCGACAUCAACAAGGAAUCUCAUGAUAGAAUAAACAAAGGAAACAAGCUUUUCUUAUGUUUUAGACCGGUGGUCAUGGAUGGCUCAGGCUCUGUUAAUGGUAGCAGGGGA